AUCAAUAAGCGGAGGAAAAGAAACUAACAAGGAUUCCCCUAGUAACUGCGAGUGAAGCGGGAAAAGCUCAAAUUUAAAAUCUGGCGGUCUCUGACUGUCCGAGUUGUAAUCUAGAGAAGUGUUAUCCGCGCUGGACCGUGUACAAGUCUCCUGGAAUGGAGCGUCAUAGAGGGUGAGAAUCCCGUCUUUGACACGGACUGCCAGGGCUUUGUGAUGCGCUCUCAAAGAGUCGAGUUGUUUGGGAAUGCAGCUCAAAAUGGGUGGUAAAUUCCAUCUAAAGCUAAAUAUUGGCGAGAGACCGAUAGCGAACAAGUACCGUGAGGGAAAGAUGAAAAGAACUUUGGAAAGAGAGUUAAACAGUACGUGAAAUUGCUGAAAGGGAAACGCUUGAAGUCAGUCGCGUUGGCCAGGGAUCAACCUUGCUUUUGCUUGGUGUACUUUCUGGUUGACGGGUCAGCAUCAAUUUUGACUAUUGGAAAAAGGUCAAGGGAAUGUGGCAUCUUCGGAUGUGUUAUAGCCCUUGGUUGCAUACAAUGGUUGGGAUUGAGGAACUCAGCACGCCGCAAGGCCGGGUUUUAACCACGUACGUGCUUAGGAUGCUGGCAAAAUGGCUUUAAUCGACCCGUCUUGAAACACGGACCAAGGAGUCUAACAUGCCUGCGAGUGUUUGGGUGGAAAACCCGAGCGCGUAAUGAAAGUGAAAGUUGAGAUCCCUGUCGUGGGGAGCAUCGACGCCCGGACCAGACCUUUUGUGACGGUUCCGCGGUAGAGCAUGUAUGUUGGGACCCGAAAGAUGGUGAACUAUGCCUGAAUAGGGUGAAGCCAGAGGAAACUCUGGUGGAGGCUCGUAGCGAUUCUGACGUGCAAAUCGAUCGUCAAAUUUGGGUAUAGGGGCGAAAGACUAAUCGAACCAUCUAGUAGCUGGUUCCUGC
rnacentral:rRNA from 2 species